GACGAACGCUGGCGGCGUGCUUAACACAUGCAAGUCGAACGGAAAGGCCCUGCUUUUGUGGGGUGCUCGAGUGGCGAACGGGUGAGUAACACGUGAGUAACCUGCCCUUGACUUUGGGAUAACUUCAGGAAACUGGGGCUAAUACCGGCUAGGAGCUCCUGCUGCAUGGUGGGGGUUGGAAAGUUUCGGCGGUUGGGGAUGGACUCGCGGCUUAUCAGCUUGUUGGUGGGGUAGUGGCUUACCAAGGCUUUGACGGGUAGCCGGCCUGAGAGGGUGACCGGCCACAUUGGGACUGAGAUACGGCCCAGACUCCUACGGGAGGCAGCAGUGGGGAAUAGUGCACAAUGGGCGGAAGCCUGAUGCAGCAACGCCGCGUGCGGGAUGACGGCCUUCGGGUUGUAAACCGCUUUCGCCUGUGACGAAGCGUGAGUGACGGUAAUGGGUAAAGAAGCACCGGCUAACUACGUG
rnacentral:rRNA from 1 species